AAACCCUACCUAUUCUCUCCUCCCAUCCUCUUCACACGCAACAGCGGCGGCGACGGUGGUGUCUACCGAGCGCUCACGAGUGCCCGCGCAUCAGGGAGAAACCAUGCGGCGGUGGUGGCCAGGACGUGCCCAUGGCCAGGCUGGAGCUGACUGCGCUCCCGAGAUCCCCUUUGCCGUAGUCCGCGAGGCCAAGCAGGACCUCUCUGAUAUUGGCGACGAUGUCUUCGUGAGUAGCCACCACCAUCUCUCCUUUUCUAUCUUACCUUUCUGCGUAAUUGUUUGCUCCAGGCUCCAGGCUGUUUUGUUGGAUCCGCUGCCUUUGAUCUUCAUCUAGUCCUGCAUAAUGGGAGAUCUAGUGUUGAGAUGGGAGAUCUAGUUGCAUGGAUGUGCUACUCCAGGAUUUGUGCGGCAGCCUGCAGGUCGAGACGCGUCAUGCGUGCUGCUCCUCUCCUUCAUGUCCGCACGGUUAGUUAGCCGGCGGACCUUCCUCCUCUAGGCACCUCCCAUCAUCAUCAGGUAUCAACAAUUUAUCACUAGCACAGGUCACAUGCACGACAUGGCCAAGCUUUAUUCUUUUGAGGUUUGAAGAAAUUGAUUUGUUUUGCAUGACACUGGCUUCACAUGUCGAGCUUCGGAGUACUUGCAAGUUGCAGAUAGUAGUGCAGUAGUUAAUUGCAAGUUGCUUCUCAGUCGUGCAGUAGGUAAUGAAUUAAUGAAGCCUGUUUUAGCUACUCAAAUUUCUUCACUUUAGAUAAUAAUAAAGUUUGGUUCUCUCUAUGUCAGUUUUAUAUUAUAUAAAGAGUUUCUCUUGUGCAUUGCGAAAUGAAUUGCAAUAGAGUAAAUUUAUCAGUACCACCAACAACCAAAAAUUCUUUAUGUAACUACGUAACUGCUAGACUCUAAAAAUGAUUUUCUUAUAGAUUAUUAAACAUCAUUUCUAAUUUGGAGAUUAGCUGGACUGCAAUCACAAGUCUGAUUUGGAGAAGCAGUUAGAGAAACAGAAAGAGACAUGAAGGAUGAUUUUGUUAACUACAGCAAGACUAUUUUGUGUUGUGCGCUGCUCUGUUGCCGCUGUUAUGAGCUGCUGUUGUCACUAUUACGCUAUUGCGUCGCUACUGUUAUGUAAAGUUGAGACUAUAGUUGCUUGAACCGUAAGACUAUUAGAGUGAAAUUAUUGUGAUAUCUUGUUGUGUUCGAGCAGCAGAUUCUUGAAUUGUAAGACUGGUGAUUUGGAGAUAAUAUUAUGUGAUGUAUGGGCUGAUUUCUGUGA